rnacentral:sRNA from 1 species
UUAAUUUAAGGAAUAUCUUAUUAAAGCAGACAAAUAAUGUCAUCUUGAAUAUUAAUUUACCGAAAGAGUACCCCUGGUGCACCGCAAAGGAAACGCCCGUUUUUCGCUUGAUAUGUUACAAAGUAUAAAUUAGCACACGGCGUUAAAAA